UCAUUGCGAUAGGGAUAGUAGCGGCAUCCUUUUUUAGGAUUACCUUAGGUCAAUUGAUAAGACGAAUCCUUAAAAAGAUAUAGCGGAUAGCCCGGUUAUCG
rnacentral:sRNA from 1 species